CCUGGGCGCCGUGAUUUCCUCGCCCUGGACUUCUCACACUUCAGUGCGCUCACGCGUCACCUGGGGCGGCUCGUUAAGAUGCAGAUUCAGACCCAGCCUCUGAGAUCCUCAGUUCUGACCUGUUCCCAGGUGUUGCUGCUGCUGCUUGUCUAGGGCCACGUGAAGAACGAGGCCCCAUUUGCUAGGCUGUCUUUGUGAUGAGCUCGGAGCCCAGUGCAUUUCAACAGCGCUCCGGCAGCAGGGGUGGGAGGUCUAGCGCUGGGCUCUCCGGAUUGAGCUGUGCUGUGAGUUUAAACUAUCCACCAGGUUUUGAAGACUUAGAAUAAAAUGAUAGUAUGAGUGUCAUGAGAUCAGGGACAUCGCCUGCUCGCAGCUCCUGGAACAGCGCCUGGCAUGAGCCAUCGUGGUGGGUGUGAAGUGGCAUCUCAUUGUGGUUG